AUACCAUGAUGGGGGAAUUUUCUCAAUAACUCCUUAAAACUCUCUCAUGCAUCAUAAAAAGACUCUCCCUCCAUCUGAUAGAAAUUAUUAAUCUCUCCCCUCAACUAU